GCAGUGGUGGUUCAGUGGUAGAAUUCUUGCCUCCCAUGUGGGAGGCCUGGGUUUCAUUCCAGGCUAAUGCA
rnacentral:tRNA from 1 species